AAUAAAACAAAACAGAAAAUAGCAAAUGUUUGCAAGAGCACUGGAGGAAUCGGAUCCUUGUGUACUGCUGAUUGAAAUGUAAAAUGGUGCAGCCAUUAUGAAAAAUAGAACAGAGAUUCCUAAAACAAAUUAAAAAUAAAGUUACAAUAUGACCUUGCAUUUAUACUUCUAGGUAUAUAUCUAAAAAAUUGAAAGCAUGAUCUUGAAAAUAUAUUUUUACAUCCAGUUUUCUAACAGGAAUAUUCACAUUGGUCAACGUAGAAGCAACUUAAGUGUCCAUUAACAGACAUUAACAGAAUAAUAAAUAAAGAAAAUUUGGUAUAUCACUUGCAUUGGUUAUUCAGUGUUUAAAAGGAAAAAUAAUUCUGACACAUGCAACAACAUAAAUGAACCUUGAACACAUUUGCUAAGUGAAACACGCCAAUCAAAAAAAACAAAUUCUACAUAAUCUCACUUCUGUGAGGUAACUAAAAUAGACUCCUGGAGACAGAGUAUAGUGAUGGUUGUUAGGAGCUAUGAAGAUUGGGAAAUCGGGAUUGUUUAUUUGUAUAGGGUUUCAGCACUGUGAGAUGAAAUUUUCUAGAUUCUUGUUAACAAUAAUAUAAAUGUACUUAUCAUUACAGAACUAUCCAGAGGGAAAUUGUUAAUAUGGUAAAUUUUAUGUAAUCUAUUUGUUAUCAUAACUUUCUAAAAUAUCAUUUAGGCUGGAUGGAGGCUGAGGCAAAUGUCACAGAUGAUGGAGACAUGACCAGGGUGAUGGGAAUGGCGUUGAAGAGAAGUUGCCUGGCUUGAUAUGUAGUUGAAAAGUAGAACUUACAGGACUUGCUAAUAGUCUACAGGUGAGGAACAGAAAAAGCUAACUUCCAAUCAAAAGUCCUGAAUAAUUGAGUAGAUGAUGGUAAGAAAAGGUGAAAAACAGAACCAGCCAUCAUGCCAAAGUGACUUUCAGCAUUGAACUACACCUCACAAUACCUGCAUUCUCUUUUUUACUACAACUUGCUGCAGAUUUCUUUUUUUUUUUUUUUUCUGGUAGCAGAAAUCCCCAUUUGAUGCCAAUUCCUCAUCAUCAUAAGGGAAUGUAAUCAAGGAUUCUUUCCUAAUAAUGUGAAUAGAUGUGCAGUGACUGACAGAGGUGGUACAGCGGGUUUAUUCUUCUUAUGGCAGUGAUCUUCUGACUGUAACCCAAGGGUGAAAGCUCAUGCACUCUUAGCAACAAGUAAAUUGUACGAACAUGCCCCAGAUAUUUCUUCAUUUAUUUGUAAAUUAUAUACAGUUUAGUCUAUUCUGAAAAUAUACAGUUUUUUAAAAAUUGUAAAACAAAUAUGUUUUUCUUUACUGUGUAAAAUUAAAUAUCACUGAGAGUAAAAAUAUUUAUUUGGCCAAUUUCGUUCACUUGGGAACUUCAGCACUCGCUGAUCAUUAGAGUUAUCCUGAUUUUUUCCUUCUUGAGUACUGAUGUUGAGCUAGUCCUUUGUUAGUCCCCUUAUUUUAUCAAUAAAUAUUUUUCUUAGUAUCAGUUACUGUUGCUUGCAACUGGAGAAAAUUAAUAGGGAAUAUAAAAUUAGUAAAAUUAGUAUUAAAGUACAGAUAAGAUGCCCUCAAGGACAUGUGUAGUAUUGGGCCAAGAUGAAGAAAAAGCCAGAGAUUCCUACUAUCACAGACAUAUUCAAAGGAUUGAAGGAAUGCUUAGAACACUGAAAAGGGUACUUGGUUCUACACAUAUUAGUCAAUUUGAGGAAGAGAUUGCAUGACUCUGCUGGCACUCACCAAAUGCUCAUACGCUCCCAUGGCCUUCCAUUAUAAGUUGCUCCUUGUCACAAACUUCACUUAAAGUAAACAUACAAAAUAAAAUUUAAA
rnacentral:lncRNA from 1 species